rnacentral:rRNA from 1 species
GUGAAAGCAACCUGACGGUACCCAAAGAAUAAGCACCGGCUAACUUCGUGCCAGCAGCCGCGGUAAUACGAAGGGUGCAAGCGUUACUCGGAAUUACUGGGCGUAAAGCGUGCGUAGGUGGUCGUUUAAGUCCGUUGUGAAAGCCCUGGGCUCAACCUGGGAACUGCAGUGGAUACUGGGCGACUAGAGUGUGGUAGAGGGUAGCGGAAUUCCUGGUGUAGCAGUGAAAUGCGUAGAGAUCAGGAGGAACAUCCAUGGCGAAGGCAGCUACCUGGACCAACACUGACACUGAGGCACGAAAGCGUGGGGAGCAAACAGGAUUAGAUACCCUGGUAGUCCACGCCCUAAACGAUGCGAACUGGAUGUUGGGUGCAAUUUGGCACGCAGUAUCGAAGCUAACGCGUUAAGUUCGCCGCCUGGGGAGUACGGUCGCAAGACUGAAACUCAAAGGAAUU